UUGGCAAUGUUGUAUCUCCUGUUGCUUGUGCAUAUACUUUUUCCCCUGUUUUCUACUUUAAAUCAUUCUAUAGUAUAACUGUUUUAUCUACAGUUGGCAUUUCAGUAUUGGACUUCGACAUAUGAUGAAUCGCAUAUCCAUUGCAUAGGAAAGGAAAGGAAGAGACAUGCGAGCUAUUGAAGAUCUCAUAAUCAAAGUGCGGAAGACAAGUUCAGGUUAUCGAAGUCAUGCAAGUGGAGAAAAAAUUGGACGACCUAAUGUUCAUGAACGACAUAGAUGUUUAAAGUGAAAGAAAAAAAAAAUUGGAACUGUUUCAUGAUUUAGAGCCUCUGUCUCGAUUUCCAGUCGAAGACAAUGCCAAAGUGGAUGAAAGAGAGAGAUUAAGAUGUUUGGGAAUCUCCAAAAAAAAUAAAGAGAAUGUUCUGUGGAACAAAGGCAGGAAAAAAAUGCAGGAAAGGCAUACACAGACAACAACAAUUUUGACGGUUGAUAAGGAAUGCAUGUCUUUUUGUAAUAUUAGAAGGAUGGUUUCUUCAAGAGGCUCCUUAGAGAUAGUAAGGAUGUGAGUCAUAUGACAAAUCAGAGAGGGAUGGGUUCCUUGAGAUGCAAUUGAGAGACAGUAAGAAUGUUGAUGAAUCAGAAGCAGAGGGGUUCUUUAAGAGACUACUCAGAGACAUUGAAGAAUCAUCGUUGUUCUGAAAGUUUAAGAUCAUUGAAGAGAGGAGUUACUGCAAAACCAAUGGCAAAAGCCAGUGCAAGCAACAGUUGGAAUUAUCACCUCAUAAAACUUCUUUUCCAACUAUAAACUAAAUUUAGAUUUUUGUAUUUUUGUUAGCAAGAGUUCAAUCACCACCUAAUCAUAUGAGAUUCCCAGUUUACUCUAGAUUUCUAUUUUGAUGGAUUUAAAGUCAUAAAUAAUGAGAUUGUGAAAGCUCCUACAUAUCAUUGGUUACAAACUGAGACUGAUAUAUUAGCAUUUAGCUUAGCUUAAUCAUGAGGUUAACAGAUAAUUUUGAAAUUGCACGAGCAAUGAGGAUUGGAUAUUUUCAAUGGCCGA